rnacentral:rRNA from 1 species
GGCGAGUGAAGCGGGAAGAGCUCAAGCUUAAAAUCUCUGUACAAAUUUUGUGCGGCGAAUUGUAGUCUAUGGAGGCGUGAUCAGUGUAGGUACUUGAGAUAAGUUUCUUGAAAAAGAACAGCAUGGAGGGUGAAACUCCCGUUCAUACUUAAGUGGCUUGCAUGUACGAUCCGUUUUCUUUGAGUCGCGUUGUUUGAGAAUGCAGCGCAAAGUAGGUGGUAAAUUCCAUCUAAAGCUAAAUAUUGGUGCGAGACCGAUAGCGAACAAGUACCGUGAGGGAAAGAUGAAAAGAACUCUGAAAAGAGAGUUAAAGAGUACCUGAAACUGCUGAAAGGGAACCGAAUCGUUUCUAGUGUCUAUAAUCUAUGACAUAUUCCAUUGGGAAGUGUGUGCGUGUGUAUACUAUGGCAGCGGCUUUUGUUGCGCUUGGUGUGCGUGCUGUAUGUGCUUUCUGGUGCCCUGUGUUAUAGUGUGACGUCAAGGUCAGUUUGUAUGCUGCGGGAAAUGGCUACUAGGGAGGUAGGGCUCGCGCUUGCGCUUGUCUAUUAUAUCUUGGUAGUGUGUCGUGGUUGAGACUGAGGUGUCUACAACGUGCUUAUGAGUGGGUCUGUGUCUCCGUGUGCGCCGUGUGCAGAUAGCUUGCUAUGUGUGUGUGGUGRUGGUGGAUUGAUGUGGGCUUUAACUUGUCGCCGUUCGGGACUUUGACGAAAUAGAGCGAUUUGACCCGUCUUGAAACACGGACCAAGGAGUCUAACAUAUGUGCAAGUGUUAGGGUGUGGAAACCCCAGCGCGAAAUGAAAGUAAAGGAUACUGAAGUAUCUGAGGUAGGAAAUGCUAUGUUAUGGUGUGGCACUAUCGACCGAUCAUGAACCCUCGUGGUGAAAGAUUUGAGUUUGAGCACAUAUGUUGGUACCCGAAAGAUGG